GCAGCAGUGAGGAAUAUUGGUCAAUGGGCGCAGGCCUGAACCAGCCAAGUAGCGUGAAGGAUGACUGCCCUAUGGGUUGUAAACUUCUUUUAUAUGGGAAUAAAGUUUUCCACGUGUGGAAUUUUGUAUGUACCAUAUGAAUAAGGAUCGGCUAACUCCGUGCCAGCAGCCGCGGUAAUACGGAGGAUCCGAGCGUUAUCCGGAUUUAUUGGGUUUAAAGGGAGCGUAGGUGGACAGUUAAGUCAGUUGUGAAAGUUUGCGGCUCAACCGUAAAAUUGCAGUUGAUACUGGCUGUCUUGAGUACAGUAGAGGUGGGCGGAAUUCGUGGUGUAGCGGUGAAAUGCUUAGAUAUCACGAAGAACUCCGAUUGCGAAGGCAGCUCACUGGACUGCAACUGACACUGAUGCUCGAAAGUGUGGGUAUCAAACAGGAUUAGAUACCCUGGUAGUCCACACAGUAAACGAUGAAUACUCGCUGUUUGCGAUAUACAGUAAGCGGCCAAGCGAAAGCAUUAAGUAUUCCACCUGGGGAGUACGCCGGCAACGGUGAAACUCAAAGGAAUUGACGGGGGCCCGCACAAGCGGAGGAACAUGUGGUUUAAUUCGAUGAUACGCGAGGAACCUUACCCGGGCUUAAAUUGCAUUUGAAUAAUCUGGAAACAGGUUAGCCGCAAGGCAAAUGUGAAGGUGCUGCAUGGUUGUCGUCAGCUCGUGCCGUGAGGUGUCGGCUUAAGUGCCAUAACGAGCGCAACCCUUAUCUUUAGUUACUAACAGGUCAUGCUGAGGACUCUAGAGAGACUGCCGUCGUAAGAUGUGAGGAAGGUGGGGAUGACGUCAAAUCAGCACGGCCCUUACGUCCGGGGCUACACACGUGUUACAAUGGGGGGUACAGAAGGCAGCUACCUGGUGACAGGAUGCUAAUCCCAAAAGCCUCUCUCAGUUCGGAUCGAAGUCUGCAACCCGACUUCGUGAAGCUGGAUUCGCUAGUAAUCGCGCAUCAGCCAUGGCGCGGUGAAUACGUUCCCGGGCCUUGUACACACCGCCCGUCAAGCCAUGAAAGCCGGGGGUACCUGAAGUACGUAACCGCAAGGAGCGUCCUAGGGUAAAACUGGUAAUUGGGGCUAAGUCGUAACAAGGUAGCCGUACCGGAAGGUGCGGCUG
rnacentral:rRNA from 1 species